GACGAACGCUGGCGGCGUGCUUAACACAUGCAAGUCGAACGGAAAGGCCCUGCUUUUGUGGGGUGCUCGAGUGGCGAACGGGUGAGUAACACGAGAGUAACCUGCCCUUGACUUUGGGAUAACUUCAGGAAACUGGGGCUAAUACCGGAUAGGAGCUCCUGCUGCAUGGUGGGGGUUGGAAAGUUUCGGCGGUUGGGGAUGGACUCGCGGCUUAUCAGCUUGUUGGUGGGGUAGUGGCUUACCAAGGCUUUGACGGGUAGCCGGCCUGGGAGGGUGACCGGCCACGUUGGAACUGAGAUACGGCCCGGACUCCUACGGGAGGCAGCAGUGGGGAAUAUUGCACAAUGGGCGGAAGCCUGAUGCAGCAACGCCGCGUGCGGGAUGACGGCCUUCGGGUUGUAAACCGCUUUCGCCUGUGACGAAGCGUGAGUGACGGUAAUGGGUAAAGAAGCACCGGCUAACUACGUG
rnacentral:rRNA from 1 species